CUCUGUUCAGGAGUCUUUGCCUUCAAAAACCGGACAGCAAUUGAUAGAGUUUGACGAUCGAGCUGCAGCAAAAAAAGAUCACAUGAGUACUAGAAUCAACAAAAAUAACUCUUCAUUCCGUACAAGUAUAUAAUGAGAAACAGACAGAGGAAGCAUUGUGUUUGAGAUAAAUUGUUCGGGUCUUGUAUGCUACCUAGUAGAAAAACAUUGUGGAAUUAGGAAGAACUCCAUCAACUGGUCAUACCGCCUAUUGAAGAAGCAGACUGGCCUACGGCAUUUCACUGGAUUAAGAGGGGUCUCUCCUCACCCUUUGAGAAAAAUGCUGAGUAUUCCCGGCUUUUCCAGAGCAAAGGAGAGCAAAAGCUAUAGUUGUGAUAUGUGUUUAUCUCAUAUGUGAUGUAACAAUCUAAGCAUACAAACUUCCACUUCCCUCCACAUGGAAUAUGCUACAACAGAAGAACAAGAACAGUAUUCCCUCCUUUCAUACACAGACUGUAAUCUCUCUCUCUCUCUCUUUCUCCCUCUCACACACACACACAGAGUGUCGAGAACACUCACAAAUGGACAAGAUGGGUACAUUCUUAAUAAUUAUGUACCACACCUUAUUUUUAUUUGGAUAACUCUGUACCUAAUAUCA